GACGAACGCUGGCGGCGUGCCUAAUACAUGCAAGUCGAGCGAAGUUUUUCUGGUGCUUGCACCGGAAAAACUUAGCGGCGAACGGGUGAGUAACACGUAAAGAACCUGCCUUAUAGACUGGGACAACUAUUGGAAACGAUAGCUAAUACCGGAUAACAGCAUUAACUGCAUGGUUGAUGUUUGAAAGUUGGUUUUGCUAACACUAUGAGAUGGCUUUGCGGUGCAUUAGCUAGUUGGUGGGGUAAAGGCCUACCAAGGCGACGAUGCAUAGCCGACCUGAGAGGGUGAUCGGCCACAUGGGGUCUGAGACACGGCCCAGACUCCUACGGGAGGAAGCAGUAGGGAAUCUUCCGCAAUGGGCGAGAGCCUGACGGAGCAACGCCGCGUGAGUGAAGAAGGAUUUCGGUUCGUAAAGCUCUGUUGUUAGGGAAGAAUGAUUGUGUAGUAACUAUACACAGUAGAGACGGUACCUAACCAGAAAGCCACGGCUAACUACGUG
rnacentral:rRNA from 1 species